rnacentral:ncRNA from 1 species
GAGUUCUAUCGACGGCGGUGUUUGGCACCUCGAUGUCGGCUCAUCACAUCCUGGGGCUGAAGUCGGUCCCAAGGGUAUGGCUGUUCGCCAUUUAAAGUGGUACGCGAGCUGGGUUCAGAACGUCGUGAGACAGUUCGGUCCCUAUCUGCCGUGGGCGUUGGAUGAUUGAAGGAAGCUGCUCCUAGUACGAGAGGACCGGAGUGGACGAACCGCUGGUGUUCGGGUUGUUAUGCCAAUAGCAUUGCCCGGUAGCUACGUUCGGAAUCGAUAACCGCUGAAAGCAUCUAAGCGGGAAGCGAGUCCUAAGAUGAGUCAUCCCUAGGGAUUUAAUUCCUCUAAAGAGCCGUUCGAGACUAGGACGUUGAUAGGCAGGGUGUGUAAGUGCUGUGAGGCAUUGAGCUAACCUGUACUAAUGACUCGUGAGGCUUAACCAU